rnacentral:rRNA from 1 species
GAUGAACGCUGGCGGCGUGCCUAAUACAUGCGAGUCGAGCGAACAGACGAGGAGCUUGCUCCUCUGACGUUAGCGGCGGACGGGUGAGUAACACGUGGAUAACCUGCCUAUAAGACUGGGAUAACUUCGGGAAACCGGAGCUAAUACCGGAUAAUAUAUUGAACCGCAUGGUUCAAUAGUGAAAGACGGUUUUGCUGUCACUUAUAGAUGGAUCCGCGCCGCAUUAGCUAGUUGGUAAGGUAACGGCUUACCAAGGCAACGAUGCGUAGCCGACCUGAGAGGGUGAUCGGCCACACUGGAACUGAGACACGGUCCAGACUCCUACGGGAGGCAGCAGUAGGGAAUCUUCCGCAAUGGGCGAAAGCCUGACGGAGCAACGCCGCGUGAGUGAUGAAGGUCUUCGGAUCGUAAAACUCUGUUAUUAGGGAAGAACAAAUGUGUAAGUAACUAUGCACGUCUUGACGGUACCUAAUCAGAAAGCCACGGCUAACUACGUG